UAGAGUUUGAUCCUGGCUCAGAGUGAACGCUGGCGGCGUGGAUUAGGCAUGCAAGUCGAGCGAUCCCGCAAGGGAUAGCGGCAAAAGGGUGAGUAACGCGUAAGUAAUCUGCCUUCAAGUCGGGGAUAGCAUCGUGAAAACGGUGGUAAUACCCGAUGUUAUCGGUAGCCUGCAUGGGCAGCCGAUCAAAGACGGGGACCGUAAGGCCUGUCACUUGAAGAUGAGCUUGCGUACCAUCAGCUAGUUGGUAGGGUAAUGGCCUACCAAGGCUAAGACGGUUAGCUGGACUGAGAGGUUGACCAGCCACACUGGGACUGAGACACUGCCCAGACUCCUACGGGAGGCUGCAGUCGAGAAUAUUUAGCAAUGGACGAAAGUCUGACUAUGCGACGCCGCGUGCAGGAUGAAGGUCUUCGGAUUGUAAACUGCUUUUGUUUGGGGCGAAACCUCCGACGCUAACAAGGUCGGAGCUGACGGUACCAGACGAAUAAGCCACGGCUAACUCCGUGCCAGCAGCCGCGGAA
rnacentral:rRNA from 1 species